rnacentral:rRNA from 1 species
AACGAACGUUGGCGGCGUGGAUGAGGCAUGCAAGUCGCGCGAGAAAGCACCUUCGGGUGUGAGUAGAGCGGCGGACGGGUGAGUAACACGUGACCGAUCUACCCUUGAUCCUGGGACAACAGCGGGAAACUGCUGCUAAUACCGGAUGGUCCAUCUGGACUGCAUGGUUUGGAUGGUAAAGGUGGGGAUCCUGCGGGACCUAUCGAUCGAGGAGGAGGUUGCGGCCUAUCAGCUAGUUGGUGAGGUAAUGGCUCACCAAGGCAACGACGGGUAGCAGGCCUGAGAGGGUGGUCUGCCACACUGGGACUGAGACACUGCCCAGACUCCUACGGGAGCUGCAGUCGAGGAUCUUCCGCAAUGGGCGCAAGCCUGAUCUAGCCAUGCCGCGUGAGCGAUGAAGGCCUUAGGGUUGUAAGCUCUUUCAGUGGGGAAGAUAAUGACUGUACCCACAGAAGAACGCCCCGGCUAACUCCGUGCC